AACAAAAACCCAGGGUCAUUCAGUCUAAAGGAAAUGACUUUACCUUUGAGUGAAUUAAUAAAAAUAAAGAUUUGUGAAGUUGUAUCUACAAUAUUGACAUUAAAAUGGUCUCUUAAUGAGUAAAGGGUGAGUAAAAGCAUUUAUUAGUAAAGAGAAAGUAGGGACAGAGCAUUUAAAUCAUAGAUAUUGAUCACUGUCCCACACCCAGCAGAAACUUGUAAGACUAAAUACUGGCCCUGGCUUCCUUAGGAACAUACUAAAUCCUGGGAGCCUAGUGGUUAGUCCAACCUGCAGAGGCCUGGAGCCCUGAAAGAACUUCAGAGAAUGUUCACUCUAUUCUUCCUUUGCUUCUCAAGCAGAGGUCACCAUGGUGCCUCUGAUUAGUUUCUCUCCUCAUCACACUCUUCCUCACCUUCCUGCCUCUACCGAGCUAGCUCCCGUCUGAGGUCUCAUCCCCCACUCUGAGAUCAUCCCACUCCCAGGCCAAACUAAAUUUUCCCCAUGAAUAGCAAAAGGCUGAGCUCUCCUGCCCUCCAUAAAAGCCCCCUUUGAGAUUUUCUUAGAGCCGAUGUCCUUACAAGUCCAUGGCUGGUCCUCUUCUAGCUCUCCUUGUAUUGCUCUUUCCCCGCCUCUGACCUCAUUGUGGCUUCUCAAGAUUAGUGUUCUCUAUAUCUGCCCUUAAGUCUCUCUCUCCUCGUGUGCUCAUGCUCUUGUCCUUGCCAUUCUGAAAUGCUACUUGCUUGAAUGUUAUGUAGUUGGUACUUAAAAUUUUUAUCAAAUUUUAAUGAAAUCUUUGAGAAUUUUAUACAUGCAUACAAUGUGUUUUCAUCAUAUAUUCACAUCCUAAUACUCUCCCUAACUCAUACCAGACACUCCCUAAUUCCAUGUCCUCUUUUAUCAAAUAACCCGCUGAGACUAAAUUGUGCUGCCUAGGUACUCAUGGGGGCAGGGAUCUCCCCUGGAGCAUGGGCAACCUACCAACGCCACACCCUUAAGAGAAAUCACUCUCCCUCAACUAUUAAACAUCAACUUUGGGUAGCUCCUCAGAUAGGGGCGUGGGUUUGUAAGCACCUCUCCAAUCCAUGCUGCCAUUUUUGAUUGGCUUUAGUUUAUGCAUGAUCUGGGCAGGUAGCCACAGUUGCAGUAAGUUCGUAAGUACACAGUGGUCCUACAAUGUCCAGAUGAUACUGUUUCAGUCCACUCUCCCUUACCUCUGGAUCUUACAGUCUUUCUGCCCACUAUUCUGUGAUGUUCCCUGAGCCUUGAGGGGGAAGGUAUAUAACACAGAUGUUGAAUUUAUACCUGAAUACUCACAGACAUUUUUUCCUUUGCAUUUCAAACAGUUAUGGGUUUCUGCAUUGAUGACCAUCCACUGCACAAAGAAGUUUCUCCGAUGAAGACUGAGAGCUGAACUAAUCUAUAGGUAAACAAUCCAUAUGGUGGCCUCAGUCUUUCUCCCUAAUAGAUUUCAUAAUACUGCCUCGAAGCUUCCAAAGCCCAGAUGGAGUCUAAUCAGUCUUCAGACUUCUACCGAGAAACACUACCUGUGGAGAAUCUCCCAGACUCCCCAUGUCUAGAUAGAGACACAGACCUGCAGAAAACAUCGCAGAGGACAUGCAGAGAAAGCCAGCAUAUCUGCUUCCACUUUCCAGACUGGUGUCUCCUUGACCAGAUUAGAUUAUAAAACGUAACUGAACCAGGGCUGAGGACAAAGCCCAGACACACUAAAAGAAGUAUACCUGUCAGCUAACGUCAAAUUAGAAACUGCAAGCCCUGCUGUACUCUGCCAGGCCUCUAUCAGCCAGUCAAAUUUCUAUCCUUCUCCACAAGGACACGGAGCUAUGCAGAUGGAGCCCUGACUGCCUACUUCUUUUUGCCCAGUUCUCCUAUUUCUCCACUGUGAUUUCCAAUGUCCUUCCUCUCUCUCUUGGUAAGUAUUUAUUUUGUGAUCCUUACUCUUCUCUGUAUCACAUGGAAGCAGCUUCUAAUCCACAUCUUACCCAGAAGUAAGGAUGAUUUUCUUAAUCACAAAAGUAGAUUAUGCAAAUGGAGAUUAUGAUUAUCAAUAGACAUUUUUGCCCGAAGUGUCUGACACACCAAGUACAUUCAACUAAGUAAAUCUCAUAAGUAGGUGUAUCUGCAUAAAGUUUGAUACCCUGAAAACACAAAAACUUAUAAAGAAUGCAGAGUUAAAGCAGCCAAAUGUGGAGUGGAGGGUAAGUGGAAUGAUAUUAUCAUACCCACAUAGAAAAAGAGAGAAGGAGAGAAAGAGAGAAGAGAGUGGGUGAUUAAGCUUCAUUGCCAACUUGACAAUGGGAUUGAAUGGAAUUAAAAAACUUUCACUCCCAAAAAGGAAAAAAUCAGAAUGAAGAGAUAGCCUACAGAAGGAAAAAUAUCUGUACUACCUAUAUACUUGUAUCUGGAUUAAUAUCUAGAAUCCAUAAAGAACUUCAAAACUAACCACCAAAAAUCAUUGAAUUGGAAAAUGGGAAAAUAAGUUAAACAGAUAAUUCUACAAAAGAAGUGCAAAUGACCAAUAAAUUGUAAACAAAAAGGUUCAGUGUCUUUAGCCUUUAGAAAAUGUAAAUUAAAACUAUACUGGGGUUUUAUUUCAUCUGAGUCAAGAUGGCUAUCAUCAAAAAAAUUAAAGAAUAACAUUUGCUUAUAAGAAUAUAUGAAGAGGCACAUUUAUACACUUCCAUUGCUUAUGUAACUGGUUCAGCUAUUCUAUAAAUAGGUAAGGACAUUAAAAAAAUAAAAACCUGAAAAUAGAACUUCCAAAUGAUUAAGUUAUAUCUUGAGAAUACACCCAUAAGAAUCUAAGUCAUCAUUCCAUAGCAAUAGAUCCAUAUUCAUAACCUAUUGUUAAUCUAUUCACCAUAGACAAGUCAUGGAAAGAGCCUAGGCAACCAUCAACAGCCUAAGGGAUAAAGAAGAUAUAAUACACACACACAUACAAUGGAAUUUUAUUCAGCAAUAAGUGAAUGAGAUUAUAAAAAUAAAUAAAUAGGCAGAAAGAUGGCUGCACAAAUUAAAAACACACACUGCUUCUGGAAAGGGCGGAAGCUUAGUAUCCAGCACCUAUGUCAGGCAGCCUACAACCUUCUGAUGAAACUGCAGUUCUAAGGAGAUUUCGAAGCCUCUGGCCUGCAUAGGUCCCUAUGCUCAGGUACAUACACAUGCACAAUCACAAGUGUACAAACAUGAAUACACACAUGCACACACACAUACACACACAAUUCAAAAAAUAAAGUGAAAUCAUUUCACUUACAUAGAAAUCAAUGCAGCUACACAUGUAACAAAGUA